rnacentral:lncRNA from 1 species
AUAAUGGUGAUUGAUAUGAGCAUGGGACCAAUUGCAUUUGUUUCUAAUUUGUUUGAAUGUGAUUUUGGAUAAAUUUCACUUGCUGUUUUGAUUUUUUCAUCCCCUUUGGACCCUAGGCUUGGCCUAGUGGUCUAGUUUCUCACAUUUGGUUUGGAUUUUCAGGUUAAAAGUGCAAAAGGCUUAAGGAGAAAAAUUCAAGUUGUAAAUUGAGAUUGUUUGAUGUUGUAAACUAA